rnacentral:rRNA from 1 species
UACGAACUGUGCGAACGUUAUUCGGAAUCACUGGGCUUACAGGGUGCGUAGGCGGCUUGUUAAGCAGGGUGUGAAAUCCCUCGGCUCAACCGAGGAAUUGCGCUUUGAACUGGCGAGCUGGAGUGAGACAGAGGUGUACGGAACUUCCGGUGGAGCGGUGAAAUGUGUUGAUAUCGGAAGGAACGCCAGAGGCGAAAGCGGUACACUGGGUCUUGUCUGACGCUGAGGCACGAAAGCCAGGGGAGCGAACGGG